CACUAGCGUAUAUUAUUAAUGUUGCAGUUAAAACGUUCGUAGUCGUACCUGAUCCAACGAUCCAUCGUGAGUAUAAUAGCACACUGUGGAUCGUGGAAAUCGCAAUCCUGUUAGAGAACCCUCUAUGCGGGAUUGGGUACCGUGAUUGAAUCGGCGCGCUCAAAGCAGGCUUUAUGCAUUGUACGAUCCAACAUGGUAUACCUAGAUUUUGGUUGCUUCCUUUGCGCUUGGUUGAAGGAGUAAUCCACAACUACGGGAACGGGUUAGGGCAUUCGGAUUGCGUAGUUAGAGGUGAAAUUCUAUGAUCUGCGCAGGCCGAUCAACUGCGAAAGCAUUUGUCCGAAACUUCUCCCUCGA
rnacentral:rRNA from 1 species